rnacentral:rRNA from 1 species
AGAUGGCGACCGGCGCACGGGUGAGUAACACGUAUCCAACCUGCCGAUAACUCGGGGAUAGCCUUUCGAAAGAAAGAUUAAUACCCGAUGGUAUAAUCAGACCGCAUGGUUUGAUUAUUAAAGAAUUUCGGUUAUCGAUGGGGAUGCGUUCCAUUAGGCAGUUGGUGAGGUAACGGCUCACCAAACCUUCGAUGGAUAGGGGUUCUGAGAGGAAGGUCCCCCACAUUGGACUGAGACACGGCCAA